rnacentral:misc_RNA from 1 species
AAGACUAUAGACCUGCGGAGUACCUGCGGAGGGAUCAUUACAGAGAACUUGCCCUUUGGGGUAGAUCUCCCACCCUUUGUUUACUUUACCGUUGUUGCUUUGGCAGGCCCGUCUUUGGACCACCGGCUUUAGCUGGUCAGCGCUUGCCAGAGGACCCCAAACUCUUGAUUUUUGUGAAGUCUGAGUACUAUAGAAUAGUUAAAACUUUUAGCAACGGAUCUCUAGAUCGGAAGAGCACAC